UACAUUCCAGAUUGAAGGCAAGGAGAAUCUCAAAGGAGGAACAUCUUAGAGGAUGGCGUCAAGAAUUUUGGAAAACCGGACAGGAGAGCCCUUUCAAGACAUAAGAACUGAAGUUUAAUACAGAAACAUCCUCUGCGCCUAAGCUCUGGAGGCUGACUGUAUUUCUUGUCUUGUGGCCCCAUUUCACUCUGAUCUCUGCUUCCACUGUCACAUGUCCUUCUCUGCCCUGACCCUCCUUCUUCCGCUUAUAAGGACUCUUGUGAGUACAUUGGGCUUGCCCAAGUAGUGAGAGUAAUCCUCUCAUCUGAAGACCCUUAACCAAAUCAUACCUGUGAGGUUUCUUCUGCCACUAAGGUAACAUUUAAAGGUCCAGGGAUUAGGACAUGGACAUCUUUGGGAGACCAGUAUUCAGUCUACUGCAAGCUUUAACAUGUUUAUUUUCAGUUAUUUACAGUAUAAAAUUGUAUGCAGUUAUCACUAAGAUAAACAAUGACAUGUCAUUAUUUGGAUUUUCCUCUUUAACAUCAGGCUCAUGACUAUUUUCUUAGUCACGUCCAACGAUAGGGUAAUUUCUAUAAUAGUGAAUCUGAUUUUUGGUUAAAAUAAUAUCAUGAAGUUCUAUCAUAGGGCAAAUCAUUGGGUGAUGAGAUUAUAUAUGAUUCCAGGACUCCUUGGUCCUCAGAGACUCUAUACCAUGAAAAGUGUCCUGUAGUGAGUGAGUGUUACACUCAAUGAAGACAGUGCUUGAAAGGUAGACUGAAUAUUUAUUUCAAGGAACCUGAAAUCCACAGCUUUUAUACAAAUGCUGCCAUUAGAACUAUAGGUUUAUCAUAUAUACCAAAUAAUUAUCUAAUCAUGUGAUUUAGUGGACGAAGACAAAUAUUGUACUAAGAAGAAACAAAUGGAUAAUUUGAGUUCAUUGUGCACCUGAAGUAUGAUAUACUACCAAAAAUAGUUAUUAGAUGUAAAGCUUGCUCAGAAAUAAUAUUGUCUAUAUCAAGAAAAAUAAUUCUGCCAAACUUGGAUCUGAUCAUCCACAAUCUAGAAUACUUCAUUUUUUCUAAAUACUAUAUUUUACAAGGAAUAUUUAAAAGAUACAGAAAAAUAAUCAAGCUAUAUGCAUGAUCUAAAGACAUUUUUACUUAUAGGAAAUUAUUGAAUAAGUGUAUUUUUGAGGAAGGUAUGAUAGCUCUUUUCAAAUAUUUAAAAUUUGAAAGGGUGUGGUUAAGGGGGAAAGACAGAUUAAUGGGUCAGAGAGAGAUUGAUCUUGCCUUGAUGAAAAACCCAAAACUAAAGGUCAGAAUUGUCUUUAGAUUGACAUGAGUUUGAAGUACAAUAAUUCCUACCUUCAAACUCCUUUAAGUUAUCUUCAAGUUCCACAGAUUUAACCUGAGAUGGUUCAAAAUCCAUCUUAUUUGAAUUAAAUUAGAAAUAAAUAGGUUUCACUAUAUUUGAAAAAUUUUCCAAAACACUGAUGCCUGUAGCAACCUAUUCAUAUAAUAUUUAUCAAAUAGAUACUUAACUCAAAUAUCCAAAAUGUUUCUUUAAGAUAGGCAGGUAAAUAACAGGUUAGGAAUAAAAAAGUUUAGUUAUAUUCUAAAGUACAAUACUUAUUUCUUAGUGCUUCACGAUUAUUGAGGCAAACAUUUUAUAAGUCAUGCAAAAAUAUAAUUAUGACUUUGAGUAGUUCAUAGUCCUCAAUUAUGACGUUGGUGUUUAUAAUACUGUUGUAAAAACUAAAUUGAUAAAAACCAUCAAAUCUGUCAUCUAUUCAUUAAUAAUAUCUAAGGAUAAGUUGGCUCUUUGAAUAUAAUAUAGCUAAUGCUCAGAGGUUUUCUUUUGGUGAGUUUUGUACAUAUCUCUGUUAUUGCAUUGUAUUAAAAUACCUUCUUUAGAUUUCUGUUAGAUGGACUACAUGAUUAAUUAUGGGAAGGCAGAAAUAUACCUUACUCUUCUCUUUGUCCACAUUUCCUUAUCUAAUGCUUGGUACAAAAUGGGAUUCAAUCAAUGUUGAUAAAGUUGUAGUAAUAAGGGUGAUUAAA